rnacentral:lncRNA from 1 species
AGAGCCCAGUGGUGGCGCAGAAAGUGUUCACUUCUUCUGUUUCGGGCUGUACGCUGUGGUUCUGCACCUCCAGGGCUUUGCUGCCUGGCGAGCGUCCUCCCUGUACCACAGGAUCCUUGCCCGACCUACAAACCCGAGGCUUCUAUGGGAGAGUCUGGAUUCGCCAUAGGGGUUUCUCCUAGCGCGGAUUGUGUGUUUGCAUUGGCGAUGCUCAUAGAAGAAAGGCGCAGAGCUGUACGAGGAGGCGGGAUGCACGGGUCAGAGCCCUCGGUGGCCUCCGCCCGCUGCUCUUGGCGCCGGGCCGCUCCUGGAGACCGCGCGGCAGCCGCCUGGGAGGCGAAGCGCGUAAUCUCCGCGCUACCCACGCGGGGCCGCGGCGCGGUGGCCGCACUUUGGCUUUGGGCGCUGGAUGGACAGGGGGGUAAAGGGUUGGGGUUCCCCUAACGUGGAUUACUUGGUGCUUAUCAACUGGAUUUAGAAGACUCUCGACCGGGUCUCCAUCAUCCGUGGGUUGUCUUUCCAUCUCCCAGCCGCUCGCUCUUCCACCUGGAGGUGUGAAACCAGAGCUUCCGCCUGCAUGGAACAAGAACGAGAGAAAGGCCUAGAAGGAGACUGACCAAGGGCUGAUCCUGCUUAUCCAUGCUACUUAUCAGGAACUGUGGAACCAUGGAGAACAUGACCCUGGCCCUCCCUUCAGGAUCUGCCUGCCUCUUGAGACGCUAGAGCCCUGGAUUCAAUUGAGGAACAUUAUGUUGGAGAAUAUAAACACUUCUAGACUGUGCAGACAUUUGGGAAGGAAUAGUCUGUUUUGACUUGAAUGAACAAAGACAUACGUCUCUGGGCCUGGGGAAGGCUUACCAGCUCAGUUCAUCUACUGCCUGGUGGCAAACAUGUCCCCUGCUGCCCCUACCCAGGAUACGCUUCCUCACUCUGUCCCUGUCCAGUUACCGCACCCUUCCCUGUUUGACCCCGCCUCCUGUGCCCACUUGCCUCUGGACCCAGAGAUUCUUCUUGUUUGCUCUAUCAUCCUUGAGCUGGAUCCAGGGUGAAUAGUUAACCACACUUGGGUUGAAUGGGAUCUUGAUUCUUAUUUCUCUUCCUUGGAAAGAGGGGUCAGUCUCGGUGCGUGGCACCCGGCCUGGAAGCAGCACAAGACUCAGAGUGAUACAUGAUCUGCCUGGAUGGUCCCGUGGGCUCUUUGGAGGUCAGAGCCUGAGCAGGGGGGCUGAGGAGGGCCGGCACUGGAUCACACGCAGGCGUAUGUCUGGAUAGGCCGAGAGGAGCCCACUUUUCAUUCCCUCUUCUGUGACACAAAUGCCAGGAACUUUGAAAACUCUCUUCGGAGGUUGCAGUCGGAGAUCAGCUUGUCCAAGGGCUUCAUGUCUGAGCUCUGUUGGUCGUGCCUCCUGAGGACCUCUUUCCUCUACUGUAUGCUGAUGACACACCCAUCCGCUGGGAGCUGGAGCCUUGUCGGGUCCUUUCCUCUAGGACCCCGCUUGCGCAGUUGGAAAUCCUUCCUAAUCAUGCCUUGAUUCCCCCUUCUCAACUACACUCAAAGAUGUUUGAGCUGUUUUAUUUGCAAAAUGGAUGGACAGUUUGUUUCUAUAAAACAAUCCCAGCUUCCUUGUGCUCUAUCUGGUGUGUUUGUAUGGCUCUUCAGUGACUUUAAAGUGGAGCGUUGACCUUGGCCUCUUCGAUUCUCCAUGGUGGAAUAGAGAAGACCUCUUGAAGAUGCUUAAUGUUGCUGAGAUCUUAAGAAGGCUUGCAGACUUCCUUUUCCUUCCUCCUCCUUCCACCUCCUUCUUCCCUAAGCAGCCUCUGCAUUGUAUACAUUCCUUUAUAUAAAUUCCUCUG